CUUAGUGAUCCGGUGGUUCCGCAUGGAAGGGCCAUCGCUCAACGGAUAAAAGCUACCCCGGGGAUAACAGGCUUAUCUCCCCCAAGAGUUCACAUCGACGGGGAGGUUUGGCACCUCGAUGUCGGCUCAUCGCAUCCUGGGGCUGUAGUCGGUCCCAAGGGUUGGGCUGUUCGCCCAUUAAAGCGGUACGCGAGCUGGGUUCAGACGUCGUGAGACAGUUCGGUCCCUAUCCGUCGUGGGCGUAGGAAAUUUGAGAGGAGCUGUCCUUAGUACGAGAGGACCGGGAUGGACAUACCUCUGGUGUACCAGUUGUCGUGCCAACGGCAUAGCUGGGUAGCUAUGUGUGGACGGGAUAAGUGCUGAAAGCAUCUAAGCAUGAAGCCCCCCUCAAGAUGAGAUUUCCCAACUUCGGUUAUAAGAUCCCUCAAAGAUGAUGAGGUUAAUAGGUUCGAGGUGGAAGCAUGGUGACAUGUGGAGCUGACGAAUACUAAUCGAUCGAAGACUUAAUCAAAA
rnacentral:rRNA from 1 species